UUUUAGAAACGUGGUUUUUCUAAUUGAGCAAUGUGCGUGGCUAAAAUUGUGAAUACAAAACCUUAAAUUUGAGUUUGAAAAUGCAUACACGACCGAAGAAACAUAUAAGCUGCUAAAAUAAAUCUUCCCUAGAACUGUUGUACAAAAAGAUAGAAGUUCCAGCAACAAAUUUAUCACCAGUUCAACCUUUGAUUUGAUGUAAACAGUAAUUGUUUCUUGAUGAGAAAUGCGAAUGAAAUAGUUUAUGGUGUGAUUGUGUUAGUGUUUUAUUAAUAGUUUUGUUGAUGCAGUUUAAAGGUUCAUAGUUUUUCAUUAAAACAUUUGAAAUUGACAUGUUUACAUGCAGUUUAGUGUGAUACCAUUUUAAUAAACAUUAAAAUCUUUCGAACUA